CAGUCGCCGCGGUAACACAGAGGGUGCGAGCGUUAAUCGGAUUUACUGGGCGUAAAGCGUGCGUAGGCGGCUUUUUAAGUCGGAUGUGAAAUCCCUGAGCUUAACUUAGGAAUUGCAUUCGAUACUGGGAAGCUAGAGUAUGGGAGAGGAUGGUAGAAUUCCAGGUGUAGCGGUGAAAUGCGUAGAGAUCUGGAGGAAUACCGAUGGCGAAGGCAGCCAUCUGGCCUAAUACUGACGCUGAGGUACGAAAGCAUGGGGAGCAAACAGGAUUAGAUACCCCCGUAGUCCCUGUCUCUUAUAC
rnacentral:rRNA from 1 species